rnacentral:lncRNA from 1 species
UGCUUAGCAACCUGCUCGGGACCCCUCUCUGUGACUGUGAGCUGUUCUGUUCUUUUGCCUAUUAAACUCCUGCUCCAAACUCACUCGAUGUGUGUGUGCAUGUCCUUGACCUCAAUAUCUGGUCGUGUGACCAAGAACCUCAGUAUUCACCCCAGACAACAAGGCUGCUUCAUUUUGAGGGCUCGUCUGGGAUUUGAAGGUGACUUCAUCAGAAUGGAAAGUCUCUGGCUGACAAACAAUUGCCUCCUCAAAUACCAAGCUUUGCUGCUAAAGGGAUCUGCAGUCCAGCUGAAAACCUGCCCUUGCCUGAGCCCAGCCACUUUCUCCCAGAGAAAACUGGAGAACCUAAACAUGAUUGUGAACAGAAACCAUCAAGCUUCAGAUGGUGCUGAAAAUGGAGCCGAAAAUGAAACUGCCCUCCUACGAGGGACCCUUAAAUCAACCCCAGGAGGAGCCCUAGCUGCUGUUCCCCACACAACGCCACUCUCCAGCAGGAAGUAGCCAGAAGAAAUCGUCACCCAGUUUCCCCUAGCAGCAGCGCAGUAAGAUUGAGGAGCUAAAAACAGACUUGGGUGGAUGUCUGCAGCUGCAAGAAGAUGUGUGGGAACAGACACAGAAACUCUCCCUCCCAGAUAAGCAAGACAAAGAAACACAGAAUAAGAGUCCAUCUAUGUGGUCAGAGAAUGGGAUAAGAGCUGAUUUAAAAAAACUCUGCUCUAUAUAGAAGGCACACCUGGUCCCAACCAAACCACUGGACCCUAGGAGGAUAAGACCUCCUCUGCUCAUGAGCCCCCUCCUCAGUAGCCCAUUUAUAAAAACCCUGACAAUUUUACUACCACUUGGCAACCCGCUCGGGACCCCUCUCUGUGAUGGAGAGCUGUUCUUUUCUUUUGCCUAUUAAACUCCUGCUCCAAACUCA